AGGAAGUAAAAGUCGUAACAAGGUUCCGGUAGGUGAACCUGCGGAAGGAUCAUUA
rnacentral:ncRNA from 1 species